rnacentral:rRNA from 1 species
UACAGAGACCUCAAGCGUUAUCCGGAUUUAUUGGGCAUAAAGCGUCCGCAGGUGGUUCGUUCAGUCAUUGGUCAAAUCCUGGGGCUCAACCCCAGAACUGCCGAUGAUACUGGCGGACUUGAGACCGGUAGAGGCAAGCGGAAUUACAGGUGUAGCGGUAAAAUGCGCAGAUAUCAGGAAGAACACCCGUGGCGAAGGCGGCUCUCUGGGACGGUACUGACGCUGAGACGCGAAAGCGUGGGGAGCGAACAGG